GGCCUCCCAAUGCCUGGCAGUUCAAUGUGUAUGUUUUUGGUGACAUUUGACAUUCUUAAACCCACCACGAGAUAAAGCCCCAACCUUAAUAAAAGGGGAGAGAAGAAAUCCUUUUUUUGGUGAUGAGUUCCCCCAGUCAGCUCUCAGACUGGCACUGAUGACAGAAGAAUGGCUUUGAGAGAAAACCACAGGUCUAACCAUAACUGAAGUAGAUCCAGAGAAUCUGGUUGCACCUGAGGAGUAAGAAGCCACCAUGAAGGGGAAGGCAAAGAGUGAAUUCAAGGGUGAUCAUUCCUGGCCCCACCACCUUUGGGAUUUGUACCUGACGCAGCCUUGUGUGUGGACAUCUCCAGCACAGACAGCUAGCUUCCUGCCCACGGCAUCCUGCUCCCCAAACUCUGCUUUGUCCUUGUGAGCCCUUUGCUCAAAGCCCCAGUGACUCCUCAUCACCUGAAGAAAUGAUGCUGCCCC